rnacentral:rRNA from 1 species
ACUGAACGCUGUCGGCGUGCCUAAUACAUGCAAGUCGAGCGACCUGACGAGGAGAUUGCUCCUCUCUCGUUAGCGGCCGCCGGCCCAUUAACACGUGGAUAACCUACCUAUUCGAAUGCGAUAACUUCCAGCAGCCGGCGCUAAUAGCGCAUCAUAUUUUCAUCCGCAUGGUUCAGUAGUCAUAGCCCGUUUUGCUGACCCGUAUAGAUGGACCCGCGCCGCAUUAGCUAGUUGGUAAGGUAACGGCUUACCAUGGCAACGAUGCGUAGCCGACCUGAGAGGGGGAUCGGCCACCCGGGAACUGGCACACGCCCCAGACCCCUGCGGGACGCAGCAGUAGGGAACCUGGCGCAAUGGGCGCAAGUUUGACGCAGCACCGCGCCGUGAGUGAUGAAGGUCCUCCCAUCGUAAAACUCUCUUAGUCGGGAAGAACAUAGCUCUAAUUGAAUAUGCACAUCUUGACGGUACCUAAGCAGAAAGCCACCGCUAACUUCUUG